AUUGAACGCUGGCGGAAUGCUUUACACAUGCAAGUCGAACGGCAGCACGGGGCAACCUGGUGGCGAGUGGCGAACGGGUGAGUAAUACAUCGGAACGUGCCCAAUCGUGGGGGAUAACGUAGCGAAAGUUACGCUAGUACCGCAUACGAUCUACGGAUGAAAGCGGGGGAUCGCAAGACCUCGCGCGAGUGGAGCGGCCGAUGUCAGAUUAGGUAGUUGGUGGGGUAAAGGCUCACCAAGCCAACGAUCUGUAGCUGGUCUGAGAGGACGACCAGCCACACUGGAACUGAGACACGGUCCAGACUCCUACGGGAGGCAGCAGUGGGGAAUUUUGGACAAUGGGCGCAAGCCUGAUCCAGCAAUGCCGCGUGCAGGAAGAAGGCCUCGGUUGUAACUAGCUUUGUACGGUACGAAAAGUACCGGGUUAAGUACCCUAGGCCGACUGACGGUACCGUAACGAAUAAGACACCGGCUAACUACGUGCCAGCAGCCGCGGU
rnacentral:rRNA from 1 species